AUAGUUGGCUUCCUUGAAAGCACCAGUUCCGCAUAGAUCACUGAAGUUGAGCACGGUUGCGCGUGGUUAGUACCUGGAUGGGUGACCAUCUGGCCAAUUGGCGUUCAAAUAUU
rnacentral:rRNA from 1 species